rnacentral:rRNA from 1 species
GACGAACGCUGGCGGCGUGCCUAAUACAUGCAAGUCGAGCGGACUUAAAAAGCUUGCUUUUUAAGUUAGCGGCGGACGGGUGAGUAACACGUGGGCAACCUGCCUGUAAGACUGGGAUAACUUCGGGAAACCGGAGCUAAUACCGGAUAAUCCUUUUCUACUCAUGUAGAAAAGCUGAAAGACGGUUUACGCUGUCACUUACAGAUGGGCCCGCGGCGCAUUAGCUAGUUGGUGAGGUAACGGCUCACCAAGGCGACGAUGCGUAGCCGACCUGAGAGGGUGAUCGGCCACACUGGGACGGAGACACGGCGCAGACUCCUACGGGAGGCAGCAGUAGGGAAUCUUCCGCAAUGGACGAAAGUCUGACGGAGCAACGCCGCGUGAGUGAUGAAGGUUUUCGGAUCGUAAAACUCUGUUGUUAGGGAAGAACAAGUACGAGAGUAACUGCUCGUACCUUGACGGUACCUAACCAGAAAGCCACGGCUAACUACGUG